rnacentral:lncRNA from 1 species
UUGGCGACAGUAUACCCCAGUGGAUAUGGAGUAUUGGGAACUACAGUUACAAUUAUUUGAAUCUUUCUUUUAACAUGUUUACCAGUGUGGAGGGACCUCCGCCCGAUGUUUCCGAUAUCAGUUCAAUGAUCCUUGAUCUUCAAGCCAACAUGCUUCGAGGACCUAUUCCUCUCCCUCCGCAGAACACCAUUGUUUUGGAUUACUCCAACAACAGCUUCGCGUCCUCUAUCCCAUCCAAUUUCAGUGCAUAUCUCAGUUUCACCGUCUUCCUUUCACUGUCUAGUAACAGACUCACAGGAGAAAUCCCUCCUUCCAUUUGCAAUGCGAGCUACCUCCAAGUCCUUGAUCUUUCAGACAACAGUUUGAACGGUUCGAUCCCAUCAUGCCUUGUGGAAGGCAGCAAUGGUUUGGGCAUACUGAAUUUGCGGGGCAACCGGUUUCAGGGAGCCUUGCCUCAGAAUUUUGACGAAAACUGUACUCUCCGGACAAUAAAUCUCAAUGGUAAUCAGCUGAGCGGGCAGCUGCCCACAUCCUUGGCCAGGUGCAGAAUGCUAGAGGUUCUAGACCUUGGAAACAACAGCAUGGUCGACUCCUUUCCAUACUGGCUGGGGGAAAUUUCUACACUGCGCGUCCUUGUUCUGAGGUCCAAUGAAUUCUAUGGCCAUGUUGGUCCUCCUGCAGAAAACAAUGGAAGCAAUGGCACAUUUGAGAUGCUGCAAAUAUUUGAUCUGUCUUCCAAUAACUUCAGCGGCAGAUUACCCCCUGAAUGCUUCAAGAAUCUAAAAGCCAUGAUGGGUGGUUCAGAUUUUAAUCGCUCCACUGUGGAUUACAGGUACCUGCAGUUCGGCCAAUCACCCUACUAUCAGAACAGUGUCACAGUAUCAGUCAAAGGGCUGGAGAUGACGCUAGUGAAGAUCCUGACCAUCUUCACAUCCAUUGAUGUCUCUCGUAAUCGCUUCGAAGGUGGCAUCCCGGGGGAGAUUGGGGAACUCAAUUCACUGGUGGUGCUAAACAUGUCGCACAAUGCUCUUACAGGUGAAAUCCCUCCUCACCUUGGGGACCUGCUGCAGCUCGAGUCUUUGGAUCUAUCUUCAAACGACCUCUCAGGCGGGAUUCCCCAGCAGCUGACUUCUCUUACUUUCCUCUCUUCUUUGAACCUCUCAUACAACAAUUUAUCGGGAACAAUACCAAAUAGUACUCAGUUCUCUACAUUCGCGAACGCUUCGUUUAUAGGGAAUGAAGGAUUAUGUGGGAGCCCAUUGUCAAAACAAUGUAGUUGUCCAAGCACAGAUCCUUCUUCAAGCUCCAAUCAUGGAGCUUCUGGAGCCCAAAUUUGGAGUUAUUUUGGUUCCAUCAUGAUAGGAUUGGGUUUUGGAGUUGGCUUUGCAGUGGUAAUGCUUUUCACGGCCUGGAGGGUUGGGAGAUGGUGGCAUGAGCAUCCAGUUGACAGGUAGCUUAGCCUUCCGUUUGACAUCUACACAGACUUACCCAUGAAUAGGUAUCAAUGGCAGUUGAAUGAACGAAAAAGAGGCUGCCUUCCCAAGCUUUCGAUCUUUCAGUGAUUUGGUCCUUCUCAUGCUUACUGUUGUGUCAGGCUAGGAAGAUCAGCAGCAGCAUCCAUUACAAGCUGAGAAUUAGCACGAAAUGGUACUGAAGAGGAAUGUGGAAAGCCAAACUAAUUUUGCUUAUGUGAGGAUCCGUGCGGGCAUGUGUUUAGUCCCACAUCGGUUAUUCGCUGGGUAGAUUAUGGAUACUUAUACAGAAUCAAGGAACCCAAAUAAUAACUUCCGGCUAGCCAUUUUGGGUGAGGUCCUGGGUUGUUACAAAUGGUAUCAGAGUGGACCUGGCCCAUAACUUAUGUGGACNNNNNNNNNNNNNNNNNNNNNNNNNNNNNNNNNNNNNNNNNNNNNNNNNNNNNNNNNNNNNNNNNNNNNNNNNNNNNNNNNNNNNNNNNNNNNNNNNNNNNNCCGUGCGGGCGUGUGUUUAGUCCCACAUCGGUUAUUCGCUGGGUAGAUUAUGGAUACUUAUACAGAAUCAAAGAACCCAAAUAAUACCUUCCGGCUAGCCAUUUUGGGUGAGAUCCUGGGUUGUUACAACUUAUGUUAGAAAUAGUUUUCUAAUUGAUAGAUAAAUUAAUGACUUGUAAAAUAUCAUUCUGCAUAGGUGUUCAGGUGGUUAGUGGAUGAAACAAAUGAAUUCUCCUAGUGUUGGCCGUGUCCAACUUUAUAAUUCCAGUCUAAUUCUCCUUGUUUUAGAGUCGUAUGUUACUGAGCACUGGCUUUUAUACUGUUAUGGAGAUUAAAUACAAUUCUUCCGAGUCUCGCUGAGUCCUAUGCCAAAUGUUCCGCAAUUCUAAGACCCUUCUCUUGGGCUGUCAAACAAGCGAGCUCCUCAUGAACAGCUUGUGUUUUACCCAAAUUUUGGCUUGUUUGAUAAGUAAAUUAGUGGAGCUGUCAAACAAGCGAGCUCCUCAUGAGCAGCCUGUGUUUUGCUCGACGUUUAGCUUGUCUAAUUAGUAAAUAAGUGAGGCUAGAGCUGGAGCUAGAUUUAGCUCGUUAAAGCUUGAGUCAAAUAAGAACAAGAUAAAAAUAAGUAAAUAAUAUAUAAUAAUAAAUAUUAUUAGUUAUUAACUAUAGGUAUAAAGAUUUUUUUAUAUUAUAAUUAUCAGAACAAAGCAAUAUAUUUUAAAUAAGUAUUAAAUUAUAAUAAGCUCACAGUAUAUUUAUUUCUUGAGAGAUUCCAAGCUUUUAAGUUGGUGUGGUUAUCUUGGCUUGUUUACACCUUUGCUUCUUUUGUCUAUCAUCAAUGUGCUUUGUUGUAUUAAUAUUAAAUAUCUAUUAUUUUUUAAAAAAAUUAUAGAGACAUUCCUUCAAAUUCGUGACAUUUAUAUUUAGAUCCAAAAAAUUUAAAAAAUAUCAAUUAGACACCAAAACUUCAAAUUCAUUGCAAUAUGACUUAGUUAUCUAUCUUCUUCAUAAAACGUUGUCACGUGAGGGUCAUUUGAUAACCAAACUUUUGUAAAAUUUUAGAAUCACAUUUUCCACUAAUUUAGUAGAGGACUUUUGUUUUGGCGCUGUGAAUUGUGAGAGAGAGAGAGAGAGAGAGAGAGAGAGAGAGAGAGAGANNNNNNNNNNNNNNNNNNNNGAGAGAGAGAGAGAGCAGAAGGAGAGUCACAUGAACAAAGUGCUUUGAGUUCUGUGUAGGUUUGAGAUCUAUACAAGCGGAUGAAUGAUAAAAGAUAGGGCGCUUUGCAAUGCGCAUAAAUAGAUGAAUACAAAGGAUGAAACCCUUUGAGAUCUAUGCAAGCGGAUGUAUGAUAAAUGAUGAAGUGCUUUGAGAUCUGUGCAGACAGAUGGAUGAUAGAGGAUAGAGCGCUAUGAAAUCUAUGCAAGCAAAUAGAUGAUAGAGAAAGUGCUCUGAGAUCUAUGCAAGCGAAUGAAUGAUAGAGGAUGGAGUGCUUUGAGAUUUGUGCAUGUAGAUGAAUGAUAGAGAAUAGAGUACUUUGAGAUAUGUGUAGGUAGAUGGAUGACAGAAGAUGGAGCGCUUUGAAAUUUAUAUAGAUAGAUGGAUGAUAGAUGAUGGAAUGUUUUUAAGAUCUGCAUAGAUGGAUGGGCAAGAGAAAAUGGAAUGUUUUGAGAUCUAUGUUAAUGGAUAGAUGAUAGAGGAAGAACCUUUUUACGAUUUGUGCGGGCAGAUGAAUGAUAGAUGAUGGAGUGCUUUAAAUUUUAUGCACGUAGAUAAAUGACAAAUGAUGGAGCACUUUGAAAUUUGCAUAGGUGAAUGGAUAACAAAUAAAGUGCUUUGAGAUUUGUGAAGGAAAUGAAUGACAAAGAAUGGACAACUUUGAGAUUUAUGCAAGCAGAAGGAUGAUAAAGGAUAGAAUGUUUUAUCUAUGCAGGUAGAUGGAUGAUAGAGAAUAAGCGCUUUAAGAUAUGCGUGAGUGGAUGAAUGAUAGAGGACAAAACGCUUUGAGAUUGAAUGAAAACUAUGAUCUAAUCUCUAUGAAUCAAGGAUAUUUUGAUCUUUUUUCUCACUCUGUUAUCUAGAUAGACAGCUCAUUUAUAUUGCAAUGAAAAUAAACUUUUGACCGCUAGUUGAAAAUUUUAAAGCUUUUAGAAUUUAAGUGUAGCUAAUCUAAAUUUGGAAGGAUGGCUCUAUAAUUUCUUAGCACUUGCUCUAAUGAGUUGCUCAAGCUUUUACACCUUUUUGCCAUAAUUUUUUUAUUAAUACUUUUUGCUGAAGUCUCAUCUACGAGAAGUCUGAGUCAAGGAUCAUAUAUUAUACUGUAACUUAUGAAUGUCUAAUACCAAUAAUCCAAUAACAGAAGACAGCCUAAGGCCUAUUGACUCUUCACAGGAGCUUAAUUUUUUUUAAAAAAAACUACAAAUGGUUACCCACAAGUGAAAAAGAAAUUUUAAAAAACAGCCUGGGUUCCCAUUUUAGAAGCCCAAGAUGAAAACCUGACGUACUUUUUUUUAUAUAUAUAAUAAUCUCGGUGGAAGGGCACCAAACAAUUCACAGCAAUUUCAAAACCGCCAAGCAACCACGAAAGUCUUCGCGGAAGAUCUAAUCCAGCGGGGGGUCCCGAACCAGUCACAUGGAGAACUAUGCUGGGGCCCACGGUGAGAUGAUGGACUCGGCGAAUAACCCCCACCUAUACUAGUUAAUUUGACCACUUCAUUCUUUUUUUGACUUUUUUGUUACCCCACUGAUCAUUCGUUGUGGAUAUCAAGCAAACACAUCACCGUCCAUCGAUUUUUACGAGGAUCAUUCCAGGUUGCACCCCAUCAGAAGGCGGGACUAGAGACUUCCGAAAUCCGUUUCUACUUUCUCAUCUCCACGACUGACGGUCGCAGACUCAAAUAAUGGGGCGUUGGUCCUCGGAUUCCGGGUAUGCGAGUCAUCGCUUGCGGCCGAUGUUUACGCACCUUCGUGGUCCGUGACCUUCCCCAAAUCCAGAUCCGUGUUUAUAUUUGCCAAAAUUCUCUCCCCAAAGUCUUCCACAAGCACCAAACUCAACUCUCGUUGCAUCAUCCCAUCGACACUGGCCGGCCAAACGCGUUCCUCUCUCCAUCUUCUGUCUUUCUUCCUAUCUUCGCUUUUCUUUCGGCGACCGUCCGUACCGACGGUCGGCCACUGCUUGGUGGAUGGAUCCCUCUUUUUCUGAAAACAUCCCACCCUCCUUCUCCUCUGUCUCCAGUUCUCUUCCGCGAUGACUAAUCGUCGCCGACCUCCCUCACUCCUCGUCCUCUCGCCUUUCCUUGUACUCUCCUCCUUAACGAUCUUCGCCGGUAAUUUAACCGCCGUGGCCCAAUGCCUCCAGGACCAGAGCUCCGCCCUUCUCCGGCUGAAGGAAGGCUUCUCCACCAACAGGUCCACCACCAACCUCGAAUCUUGGAAGUCGGGCACCGACUGCUGCGACCACUGGGAGGGCGUUACCUGCGACCCGGCUUCUUCGGGUCGGGUCACCGCUCUCGACCUCAGCAACCGCUUCAUAUCCGGUAGGAUCGAUCCGAUCCUCUUUAACCUCACCUCCCUGACUUCUCUCAACCUUGCGUACAACUUGUUCAACCAAAGUCUCCCGUCGCCGGGGUUCGAGAAGCUGGCCAAUCUCACCCGCCUCAACCUCUCCAACGCCGGCCUCUACGGCCAGAUACCGUCGGGCAUCUCUCGGCUUACGAAGCUGGUCUCUCUCGAUCUCUCUACCCUCUUUAUCGAGGAGGGACCUUCCACAUCGCUCAAGCUUCGCGAUCCUGAUCUCAGAACCUUAAUUGCAAACCUCAUCAAUUUGAGGGAACUCUACCUCGAUGGCAUCAACAUCUCUUCUGAUGGUUCCGAGUGGUGCAGAGCAGUGUCCGACUCGACCCCUGGCCUCCAAGCGCUGAGCUUGGUAUCCUGUUCUCUCUCUGGUCCAAUUCAUUCAUCGCUCUCCAGGCUUCGGUCGUUGUCCAAACUUCGCCUUGAUCGGAAUGGAUUGAAUUCCAGUGUGCCGGAGUUCUUUGGUAAUUUCUCUUCUUUAACCAUGCUUCGUCUCAGUGCUUGUGGGCUCACAGGAUCGUUUCCGGCAAGGAUACUUCAGCUCAGGAAUUUGGCGUUACUUGAUGUGUCGGGCAAUACUGAUCUUUCUGGGAAUUUGCCUGGGUUCCCCGAAGAUAGCACCUUGGAAAGUUUGGUUCUGUCCAACACGAACUUUUCCGGGACUUUACCUGGGUCUAUUGGCAAUCUCAAGUCUUUGACGGAAUUGCAGCUUUCGGGUUGUCGAUUUUCUGGAGCCAUACCCUAUUCUUUUAGCAACCUCACCCAGUUGGUUCAUCUGGACCUCUCAUUCAAUAAUCUCAGUGGCGAGCUUCCUUCGAUGGCUCGAUGGCGAAGCAUUUCAGAUGUAGUACUUAAGAAUAAUAGGCUCAGUGGAUCGAUAACUUCCUCUCUUGGCAACCGAGUGCUUCCCAAUCUCACAGUGAUUGAUCUAACAAAUAACUCACACUCUGGUGAGAUUCCUGUAUGGCUGUUUUCCCUACCAUCUUUACAGAAUUUGCUGCUUAGCCAGAACCAGUUCUCCGGACAUCUCCAAGAGUUUUCAGAUCCUUCUUCCACGUUGUCAAAUGUUGACUUGAGUAAUAACAAGCUGCAGGGACCAAUUCCUAAGUCGGUCUUUCGGCUCUCAGGGCUAAAAAUUCUCAAUCUUUCAUCAAACAACUUCAGCGGCACAGUGGUGCUAGACUUGCUCCGGAGCUUGAGGAAUCUCUCGAAUCUGGAUCUCUCCAAUAAUAGGCUGUCAGUAAUAGAUGGAGAUGAUAAUUCUUCGUGGGCUUCUUUCCCUAAUAUCAGCACGUUGAGACUGGUAUCUUGCAAUCUGAACAGGCUUCCUGGUUUUUUGAGAUACCAGGUUGGAGUCGGCACCCUGGACCUCUCAAUGAACAGCAUUGGCGACAGUAUACCCCAGUGGAUAUGGAGUAUUGGGAACUACAGUUACAAUUAUUUGAAUCUUUCUUUUAACAUGUUUACCAGUGUGGAGGGACCUCCGCCCGAUGUUUCCGAUAUCAGUUCAAUGAUCCUUGAUCUUCAAGCCAACAUGCUUCGAGGACCUAUUCCUCUCCCUCCGCAGAACACCAUUGUUUUGGAUUACUCCAACAACAGCUUCGCGUCCUCUAUCCCAUCCAAUUUC